rnacentral:rRNA from 1 species
UACGGGGGGGGGCAAGCGUUGUUCGGAAUUACUGGGCGUAAAGGGCUCGUAGGUGGCCAACUAAGUCAGACGUGAAAUCCCUCGGCUUAACCGGGGAACUGCGUCUGAUACUGGAUGGCUUGAGUUUGGGAGAGGGACGCGGAAUUCCAGGUGUAGCGGUGAAAUGCGUAGAUAUCAGGAGGAACACCGGUGGCGAAGGCGGCUUUCUAUUUUAUUCCUGACGCUAAGGCGCGAAAAGCUAGGGGAGCAAACAGG